rnacentral:tRNA from 1 species
UCUAAUAUGGCAGAACAUAUGCUUUGGAUUUAAACCCCAACUAUAAAGAUUUAUCUUUUUUUAGAA